CUGGCCUUCUGUCAAAGGUCCGGCAGUUCCCAUUUUUGGCAGUCGGUCAUCCAACUGCUCCCCAUCCUACGCAUUGGGACUUCCAUCUUAGUUGGAUCAGGUGCGGCGACUUUGUUCUGGUUUGACCGAUGGGCGGGAGACACCCCCUUUGCGGCUCGCUUCCCCGACCUCUUCUCCAUCGCCGUCGCCCCCUCGAUCUCUGUAGAGAGGGCCCUUAUUGACUUAGGGUGCCUCGCUUUCCGGAGGCCAUUUGGGCCUCCGGAAGCUGCCGCUUGGCAGGAGCUGCUUGAUUGCGUCGCUCUCCACGAGCCGGUAAUGGAUCCUGGCCCGGAUGAGGUUCGGUGGCGUCUUGAGCCUUCGGGCCAAUUCUCCACCAAGUCCCUCUAUAUGGCCAUCGCCCCCUCCUCCACCCCUUCCCCCUUCGCAGUGUGGUCCAUCCGCCUGCCACUGAAAAUCCGGAUAUUCAUGUGGCAACGGAUCUGCGGGCGGAUCCCGUAUGGGUGGAGGUUCGCAGGCGCAAUGGCCCUGGUGCUAGCCUCUGCCCACUGUGUGGUACCCCCGAAGAUUCGAACCACAUCUUCUUCUCCUGUGUGA
rnacentral:rRNA from 1 species